rnacentral:rRNA from 1 species
GUCUACCGCCAUACAACCCUGCAUGAGCCUGAUCUAGUCUUAUCUCAGAAGCUAAGCAGAGGCCUCAUUGGUACUUAAUGGCAGAAGGUC